rnacentral:rRNA from 1 species
ACUGACAGCCAUGGUUACCGCGGCUGCUGGCACGGAGUUAGCCGGUGCUUCUUCUGUGAGUGAUGUCCUUCCUGCGGCUAUUAACCGCAGGCCUUCUUCCUCACUGAAAGUGCUUUACAACCCGAAGGCCUUCUUCACACACGCGGCAUGGCUGGAUCAGGGUUGCCCCCAUUGUCCAAUAUUCCCCACUGCUGCCUCCCGUAGGAGUCUGGGCCGUGUCUCAGUCCCAGUGUGGCUGAUCAUCCUCUCAGACCAGCUACGGAUCGUCGCCUUGGUGAGCCGUUACCUCACCAACCAGCUAAUCCGACAUAGGCUCAUCCGAUAGCGCGAGGCCCGAAGGUCCCCCGCUUUCCCCCGUAGGGCGUAUGCGGUAUUAGCCUGGGUUUCCCCAGGUUAUCCCCCACUACCGGGCAGAUUCCUAUGCAUUACUCACCCGUCCGCCGCUCGCCACCAGGGAGCAAGCUCCCCGUGCUGCCGCUCGACUUGCAUGUGUUAGGCCUGCCGCCAGCGUUCAAU